rnacentral:lncRNA from 1 species
CCCAUUAAUAAAAGUAAAAUUUUAUAUGCUAAAUUGGUAAUAUACAAGAGUUUUUACGAAAUUAAACAAAAAUUUCCAUGAAUAAACUGUGUUGGAUAUGAAAUAUUUUAAUCUUGAAAGUUGACAUUAUUUUCUAACCUAAGUAUGGAUUAAAUUCAUUUUUCAACCUAAAAUGAUCCGACCCGUAUUUAAUUUGCCGCAUGAAAUAAGAAC